UUGGAAAAGAUUUUAAUCAUUUUUAUAUUAAAAAAAAAAAACUUUCGAUGCGCAUGAAGAAGACGACCACGUUGAAUGCUAUACUUGCACCGAGCGUUAUUUCAUCUUAAUAAAAAAGAUAGGAAAAUUUUCCAAAAGAACAUCUCGCAUUCCGAACUCGGCUAAUUUUAGUGAACAAAGAAAGUUAUUGCAAAAAAAAAAUGCCAAAAAAAACCAACGCAAGGUCAACAUUCUAUCGAUAUAUACAUCUACUUUGUACAGCCGUUCAGACGAUAUAAUCAGCGAAAAACGUGAAUGGAUUUACUUUGGCUUAAUAUUUUAAUUUAAAUUUA